rnacentral:misc_RNA from 1 species
GAAAUGUGAUAAGUAAUGUGAAUUGCAGAAUUCCGUGAAUCAUCGAAUCUUUGAACGCACAUUGCGCCCUCUGGCAUUCCGGGGGGCAUGCCUGUCCGAGCGUCAUUACGCACCCUCAAGCCCGGCUUGUGUGAUGGGCCCCGGCGUCUCGUUCGCGAGACGGGCCCGAAAGGCAGCGGCGGCGUCGACCCGAUGAGCCCGAGCGUAUGGGGACUUCUGUCACACGUUCGCGGUGCGGACCGGCGCCUGCUUAACUUUUCUGAUUAUCCAGGUUUACCUCGGAUCAGGUAGGGAUACCCGCUGAACUUAAGC